CUAGUCGCACGGGUUUAGACCCGUGGCGAACAGCUCAGUAACACGUGGCCAAACUGCCCUGUGGACGGGGAUAAUCUCGGGAAACUGAGGCUAAUCCCCGAUAGGGCUUCCAUCCUGGAGUGGAGGAAGUCCAAAAGUUGCGCUGCGGCACCACAGGAUGUGGCUGCGGCCGAUUAGGUAGACGGUGGGGUAACGGCCCACCGUGCCAGUAAUCGGUACGGGUGAUGAGAGUCAGAGCCCGGAGACGGUAUCUGAGACAAGAUACCGGGCCCUACGGGGCGCAGCAGGCGCGAAACCUUUACACUGCACGACAGUGCGAUAGGGGGAUUCCGAGUGCGAGGGCAUACAGUCCUCGCUUUUCUGGACCGUAAGGAGGUCCAAGAAUAAGGGCUGGGCAAGACCGGUGCCAGCCGCCGCGGUAAUACCGGCAGCCCGAGUGAUGGCCGAUAUUAUUGGGCCUAAAGCGUCCGUAGCUGGCCAGACAAGUCCGUUGGGAAAUCCACGCGCUCAACGCGUGGGCGUCCAGCGGAAACUGCCUGGCUUGGGGCCGGAGGACUCGAGGGGUACGUCCGGGGUAGGAGUGAAAUCCCGUAAUCCUGGACGGACCACCGGUGGCGAAAGCGCCUCGAGAGGACGGACCCGACAGUGAGGGACGAAAGCCAGGGUCUCGAACCGGAUUAGAUACCCGGGUAGUCCUGGCCGUAAACGAUGUCUGCUAGGUGUGGCGCAGGCUACGAGCCUGCGCUGUGCCGCAGGGAAGCCGUGAAGCAGACCGCCUGGGAAGUACGUCCGCAAGGAUGAAACUUAAAGGAAUUGGCGGGGGAGCACUACAACCGGAGGAGCCUGCGG
rnacentral:rRNA from 1 species